GACGAACGCUGGCGGCGUGCUUAACACAUGCAAGUCGAACGGAAAGGCCCUGCUUUUGUGGGGUGCUCGAGUGGCGAACGGGUGAGUAACACGUGAGUAACCUGCCCUUGACUUUGGGAGAAAUUCAGGAAAAUGGGGCUCAUACAGGACAGGAGCUCUUGCUGCAUGGUGGGGGAUGGAAAGUUUCGGCGGUUGGGGAUGGACGCGCGGCUCAUCAGCUUGUUGGUGGGGUAGUGGCUUACCAAGGCUUUGACGGGUAGCCGGCCUGAGAGGGUGACCGGCCACAUUGGGACUGAGAUACGGCCCAGACUCCUACGGGAGGCAUCAGUGGGGAAUAUUGCACAAUGGGCGGAAGCCGGAUGCAGCAUCGCCGCGUGCGGAAGGACGGCCUUCGGGUUGUAAACCGCUUUCGCCUGUGACGAAGCGUGAGUGACGGUAAUGAGUAAAGAAGCACCGGCUAACUACGUG
rnacentral:rRNA from 1 species